UCGAGAAUCUUUCGCAAUGGACGAAAGUCUGACGAAGCGACGCCGAGUGAACGAUGAAGGCCUUCGGGUUGUAAAGUUCUUUCGCAGGGGAACAAGAAAUAGAGGUUAAUAACCUCUAAAUUUGAGCGUACUCUGUAAAGAAGCACCGGCUAAUUCCGUGCCAGCAGCUGCGGUAAUACGGAAGGUGCAAGCGUUAACCGGAUUUACUGGGCGUAAAGGGUGCGUAGGCUGGAAGAUCAGUCAGAUGUGAAAUUCCGAUACUUAAUAUCGGAGCUGCAUUUGAUACUGUCUUUCUAGAGAGUGGGAGGAGAAAGCGGAAUUCCGUAUGUAGCGGUGGAAUGCGUAGAUAUACGGAAGAACACCUGUGGCGAAAGCGGCUUUCUAUCUCAUUUCUGACGCUGAGGCACGAAAGCGUGGGGAGCAAACAGG
rnacentral:rRNA from 1 species